rnacentral:lncRNA from 1 species
CUUUUCAGUAGAGUGCAUAAACAAACAUUUUGCAUACUUUUAUUUUAAGACUUAAAUAAAGAAAUGACAAGAUUAUUGAAGUAGGAAAAGAAAAGGGAUUGAAUUAUGAUUCUUCCAUCUGCAUAUGUUUGUCAUACAAGAUACCAUUUUUGGAAGUUAAUACAUUUUUAUUUUGGAUGUUACAUCAUUUCUUCAAUGUUUUGGAAUUAUUAACUUUAACGUAAUGUUUAAAAGAUUGAAUAUUUUAUAUCAGCUUGAAUUUUAUUUUUUAAAGCACAACGAGUUCUGCUUAUUUAAACAGGAGAACAAAAUAAAACGCUUAAUUAAAAUUCCCCAAACCAUGAUAAAUAAUAAUAUUCAAUAACUAAAAAGUACAUUGAGGUCCACUACGUCUCAGCUUGAAUGUGAAACAUAAUAAUUCUCUUGGUAUUUGAAUGGUAAAUUAUUGCAGAAUUUUAUGGUAAUAGUUAGCUAGGAUAACAGAUGCUUUGAAACUUUGACAUUUUAUUUUAAUUAAUAUCAUUAGAUAUUUGAAUUAAUGGUGGUUUAAUGAUAUUGAGUAAUGAAAUGGUAUAUACCAAGGUUAGUAAACAGUAUAUUGUGUUAAUACAUCAAGAUCUAUAGGGUACAUUUUUAACCUCAUAAUAAUAUAAUGCUGUUCAGAAAUCAGGAAAAACAUUGCAAUGCAAUGCUAUGACUUUUGUAAAAAAAACUUUUGGCUUUCAAAUUUGUCUUCUGUGCAGAAAAUAAAACUUUUUUUAACACAAAAGAGUAUUUGAUUAUUGACUGUUGUCAAAAAUUUAGCUGAAAUUCAUUAAAAUGAAAUGAUGUAGUAGAAUAUUUAAUAUAAGUAAAAAAAUGAUAUUAUUAAAUUUGUAUAGAUAUAUAAAUUGAUAAACUUUCAGUUUAAUUCACACCCCCACAAAAAGUUGUGAAAGUGACUUUCACAAUACAAUGAAGAAAGAGGUCAAAUGAUAUUGCAUAUCAUUUCAUAAAUUGAUUUCUAAAAUUUAGAUUUUUUAUUGUUAAACUUUUAUUUAGAAUAGACUUAAUGUAUUAAGUUAUAUAUGUACAGCAAAUCUGAAGAGAAACUCACAGCCAUAAUACAUAUGAAGAUGAUUUUAAAUUGUCAUGGUUUUAUAUCAAAGAGAAUUAAAGAUAAUUCAAGGAAUCAAUUGCAAGGAAUAUAAUUGAAGAUGAAUUUUACCAGUAAUAUAUGAUGAUUGACAGACUGAGAACGUCUUUAAAUUUUUAUUAAAUUUGUAUAUAGAAAAGAAAAAUACAUCCAGUGGUCUCCUUUGUUUAUUAACUUAUUUAUUUUUUAAUUGUGAAAUUUAUUCAAUUAUCAUGAAUUCAUGAUUAUAGAGAUCAUAUGCAGUGAAAAGAGAUUAAUAGUGUGGGUCAAAGGACAUACAUAUUUUGUUAAAAACAAUGAAUGGAAUGGCUGUUACAGAUAAAAUAUUGUACUUCAAGGGAGGUUUUUGUAACCCAUUCCUUAAUAAUAUGGCUAUUAGUUGCAAAGAAUAUUGUUUUACCUGUGGAAAGGAAAUCUGUUCUAUAGCAAGAAAGUUUCCAGAGAAGAAGGCUAUUUUUUUGAAAGAAGUCAGCAAUCAUAAAUUUUCUUUUAAAACAGCAAAAAUUGAUAGAAUAGAGGCUGGGAGACCAUUUGUAAUAAUAUAAUCAGAAUAAUUUCUAAUAAUGAGCUAUAACUCAUAUAAUGAGUAUAAUUAUAAAAUUGUAUACCGGAUCAACAAGCUGAUAUUUAUGUUUAUUUACAAUAGGAAUUACAGCCCACAUGAUUCUUACAUAGUAUACAACCAGUUAGGUUUACUUAUUAGUAUUAUCGAUUUUGUAUCUAUUGUCAUAUAUAAAAAGUUAGAGCAAAAACAAGAAUAUUGUGGGUUUUAUACAUUUUCAUUUCCACAAGUUCAUGUUUUAACCAUCAAUUUGUCCUGUUAUGACAUUAAAAAUGUAACAGUCACAAAAAUGGAUUUUUUUUUGUUAGUAUGGAUAUAAGCCAAGUGAUAUAAGUAUUUAGGGUAGUAUACAAUGACAUAUGUUUGUAUCUGAAUGUUUGCUUGACAUAAUCAGUCUAUAGACUUAUAUUUUGGUUUAGAUUUUUUAAGGAAAAUGCAACUUAUACUAUUCUACUUAAUCUUUUGAAGAAUUGAAAUUUAUUGUGUGAAAACCUUUUCUCAUGCUUCUUUGCUUGAAAUAGAAUUUUGUAUUGCUUGUAUUGUAAAUAGCUAAUGAAAGAUUGGUCUAUUAGUUAUUUAUAGACAGUAAUUUUUAAUCAAGAGUUAUAAUGUGAAACUAUUGCUUCCAAUUAAAAUAAAAAGCAAUUAUAGAUUAAAAUCUACAUCUCAUGUAAAAAAAAACCCAGAUUUUUAAACUUGAUCUAAAUGUGAAUAUAUUUAAUAAUGAAAGCCUCUCUUGUUUUGGCAUGAACUUAAUUAUACUUUGAAACAAACUUUGCAUUGAGAAGUCAAAAUAAAUUGUUUCUUAAUUUGCACUAUAUUGAUUAAAUGACUUGGAAUUAUCUUGGAUCAGAUCUGAAAUUGACAAGUAUAUCAUUUCAAAAUCAGAAAUUAACACUCAACAGGUAAACAAUGACAAAUUAUUCAAGAGAAUAAAGAAUUAUUUGUGCAGUAAAAGUAACAAUAUAGGCCAAGUGGUGAAGGUAGUCGUAAUUGAUCAAAUUAUGCAUUGAGGAAUUGUAAAGAGUAGAAAAUCAAUGGUGAAAAACAUCAAACUUGUUAACGAGGAAAUUUACGAGUAUUGAUUUCUGGGUUGUUUUGAUUGAACAUCUUGUGUAGGUAUCACUGCUUCUACUGAUAACAAGCUUUGUUUCUUAAUUAUUCAAUAGUUGGAGGAAAAAAUAUGGAUCAAAUCGUUAUUGUUAUGAUUGAACAAUAAAGCCAAAAAUUGUUUUUUUUUCUUGACUAAUAAAAGAGCUCAGUUAUCCAAAUGGAUAUCAUGAAAAUUAAAUUUAAAUUAUAAUGGCCUUUCCUUAUGAAGGAACAGAUUUUGAUUUAAUAUGAUUUCUCACAGACAUUCAAUAAUUUAAUUUUAUGAAGACUAUGAAAAAGAACGGUCAACUCCUCUUCCUUCUCUACAGUCAGUGCACAGGGAUCAAAUGGUUUGUUAUUUAUGAAAAUGUCAUAAUAAUCCAUUAAUCUACAUCAAGGAAGUUUUGCUCUUGGAAUUGUUUGAAUGUGACAGGAAUCUUAACUGAUUUUGCCUAGAGCUCUUCAAAAAUUUUGUUAUUGGAGUUUAGGAAUUUAAGCAUGAUUUUGUAGAACUGAAGCCUUUCAAAGUCUUGAAGUGAAAUUUCUGUUUCCUUUAAUUGGUUAAGAUACAUUGCUUCUUCUAUUAGCAUAUCCAGCAUUCUGUUGAUAUAUGAUCUUACUAUAACUUAUAAGGGUUCGAAUAUUCAUGUUCAAAAUAUAAAAAUUCUUACUUCAUUGAAUUCACUUUAUUUUAAACUUGCACAGUUCUAUAUUUGUUCUACCUUGAAUUAGAAUAGACUGUUGAUAACCUGUAAAAAACAAAAGUUUGUUCUCAAUCCCUGCACUUUUUGUACCAUCAUUAUUAUGGCCACUAAAAAAACAUUUUCCUUUGUUCAUUUUAAGGGCAGGCUGGUCAAUAGAUACAUAGAUUUGUAAGUCCAUGUAAGUUGAUUGACAAAAGCUUAGCUUGUUCCAUCACAACAAUAAGAAGCCCUGACAAGUACCACUCACCAAAAUAGAAAAGAAUAAAAGACUUUAUAAAUUUGAAUAAGUGUCUGUUAUUUUAUUUACGGAAAACUGACCAAUCAAUAUGGUUCUGAAAGUGACGUAAAGUCAUAUGUAAUUGUCAGCUAAUUAUAUUGUCUGUGAAGAAUUUGGUCACGAUUUGUUGUUUUGUUUCUUAUCAUAGGAAUUAACUGUUGGCAUAUAUAUGUCAUUACUUCGAUAAUGGUUACCUUCCAAAUUAACUGUGCAGAAUUAUUAAUACAAAUUAUAUUAGUCACCUAUUAUGGUAGAAACAAAAUUAGUUCUUGAUAAAACCAUGACUAUUCAACAGCUCCUUGUAAUUAACUUUUUCCAAACAAAGAAAUUGCUUAUUGAUUUUUAGAAAUCAUCGACAUAUGGCUUUUCAUAUUUUGUUGUCAAAGAGAGACAACUCUAAUUAAAUAUCAUGUUUAAUAUUUGACUUUGUAAUAUAUGAUUAAGUAGAAAUGUUUUAGUAUAUUCUUGUUACAUAAGUGAUAUGUAUAGCACAAAAACAUUAACUGAUGUUAUGCAUGUGUUUGUAUAACUUGAGCCUUUCUUUAGAUCCUUUAAACGAGAGUAUAUGUUUACCUGUUUUAAUGUAUCGUUCUUCUUUUAUCAACUUUUUAAUAUUCAUGAUGUCUUUUAAUUCAAAAGCAAAGGUUGCUUUUAGUAUUUGCUACUGCAAAAGUUGUUUUUUUGGGUUUUUUUUCUGUAUAAUAAAUAAAAUCACGUGUUAGAAUUUGUAAAUUGCCAGUAAUUGGAAGCUCUAGGAAAGCAUACGAAAAAUAAUCAUUUAAUAUUGCAUCCGUAAUUUCCAAAAAUAAAGGGGGAUGAAAACCGAUUAAUUUGUUUCAGUUUUUAAUAUUUUCGUUUGCUUUUAGCUGUGGUGAUCAUGAAUACCGGUGAAACAUAGAUAAAUUAUUCCAUACCAUAUAUAAUGGAAGGCUGGAUUGCUUACUUUUGUGCAACUUUUGUUAAAAAAAAAAAUGAAACUUUUGAAAUUUAUUGAUGAAUCUUUGAUCUUUAGAUAUAUUAGAUUAAGAAAAAUUCUAAUUCUUUUGAAAUGUUGAACAGAUCACAAAAUUGUAAGGCAUUUGUUACAUGUACAAAAUAGCAUGAAGGCCUUCCUUUUAUUUAUUUGUUAUUUGAUAGCACCCACUCAUUAUAAAGUAGUAAGUACUACAACCUUAAUACAGCCAGUUUAGUUGUUCCUUGUUUUGUAUUUUUAGUCAUGUGAUCAUGUUAUGUGAUCAGUGCUGUAAUUAGUCAUGUGAUCAGUGCUGUUAUUAGUCAUGUGAUCAGCACUGUGCCAUUUGUGUUUCAUAUUAUAGAAGAUGGCACCAAUUUUCCUGUUUCUUUGAGAAAUAUUUGUUUCACAUGGUACCAUUUUUUUAAUGGUUUCCAGAGAAAAUUUAGUUGUUAUCAGAUAAAAAAGGUUUUAUAAGAUACUAGUUUUCUCAUCUUGAAAAGAGUGAGAAUUUUGAAAUGAUAUAAAAAUCAUCCUGGAUCUAUCAUGUUUAUUUAUUUUGUAUAACUUUAUAUUGAGAAGUUUUUAUGAAAUUUUGUUAUGUUUAUUCAAAGCUGGAAAACUGGUGCCAAAACAAACAUAGCACAGUAUGAUUUAAUCUUGUGUAAUAUAAAAAUUUGGAGAAAAAAUACACAAUGAGAUAAGAUGUCACAUUAUGUGUUUUAGUUAUUAACACAUUGUGUUGUUACAUUGUUCUCAAGUGUAAAUAAAGUUACAUGUUACAAAAGUGUGUGUGUUUAUUUUGUUUUUCUCUGUUUAUACUCCCAAAAGUAGUCUUCUUUUGGUCAAACUAUAAUUCUGAGAUCAAUAGUAGUAAAGUAAAUUUUUGGAAUGUUCCAAAGAGGUACAAACAAUCACAUAUUGCAAAAUUCUCAGUUCUUUAUUCAUGAGAUUUGUGUCACUUUACUUGCCCC